rnacentral:lncRNA from 1 species
UAGCUGCCUCAUUCUUCCACUCUGAGUCACUGGGAAUGCCCUGGAGAUUUUCGGCUGCAUUGCAGAGUGGCACUACAUCAGGGGCACUCUGGUAUUCAAACCCUGCUCAGGCCUUUCUGAUGCUCUGUAGAGUAAGGGAGGAAGGAAGCUGCUUGGAGAGAUUCCAGGAGUAGCAGAAGAAAGGAUAAAGUAGUCCCACUGUUUUCUGAAGUUCUCGGCCCUAAUCCUUCUCAGAAAUGUGGCUGUUUCAUCUGUUGGGUGCUAACUUUGAGCUGCAGUUAGGAAAUAAGACCAAGAAGUAUUUACUACGAGCUCUUGGAAAAGUUUUCUGUUGUUUGUUUUGUUAUUGAUGCUUUUCCUCUUCUUUAAAAGGUACAGCAGUAGGUGGUGCUCAGAACCAGCUAUUCUGCACAGCCGGAUUCAGUGAUUCUGUCUCUGGGGAUGCUGGGGAUCUACCCAGGUCUUCGUGCAUGCUAAGCACAGAUUCUACUACUGAGCCACAGCCCAAGCACAAUGGAUUUCUUUUGUGUGUUUGUUUGUUUUUUUUUCCUUUUAACUGACCACACACGGUGUGCCUGUCAUUGACCCACCUCCCACCCUGCACUUUCACCAGCAUAUCCCCAGUUCUGAAAGCAACCGUGCUCAGAAAGAUGCCCACUGGGAAGAAAAACUAGAGAUUUGAACUUGAGACCUGCUGGCCCUGCUGGCCUUUAGAACGAUUUGAAAGCUGCUGUUUUGGAGGAUGCAGGCAAGGUCCAGGAGAAGGUGGGGCCAGGUGAGGGCAGGUAAAUCCAUAACACCUCUAACACGUUGGGUCUUCAAUACAGAAGAACAAAAGGCAAAAACUGGAGCAUGCAUGUGGUCCCUGACACUUGUGGGGUAUCAGCCGGGAGCAGAAUCGAGUCGUCUCUGGGUUGCUAUGUUUGACCCAUUCAUCCCUCUGAAGGUCAGGGCAGAUGCUUUGAGAUAAACAGUGAUGGAAUAUGACCAAAAUGUCACAAAUAAAACGUCAGACAGAACCUCAGAGACAGGAGCUCAAUAAAAGAGGUGGGUUUUGAUUCUUAAAAAUGUGCGUGUGCGUGUACGUGCUGGCGUGCGUGCGUGCGUGUGCGUGCAUGUGCGUGCAUGCAUGCGUGCGUGCGUGUGCGUGCGUGCGUGCUUGUGUGCGUGCGUGCGUGCGUGCGUGCGUGUGUGUGUGUGUGUGUGUGUGUGUGUGUUUGCUCUUAGUAGAGAGGCACUAUGUCCCAACCACGCCAGAAUCUGGCGAACUGUAAAUGCCAGUCUUACCCUCAGCUCUUGUUUUCGACACAAACUUUCUUGCCCCAGUAGCUACCCUCUACUUCCAUGUCUGCCUUUCCCAAAUGAUAUCAAUCAAUCAAGCUGGUCACUUGGACCAGCUUGCUGCCACCAUGGCUAUGCCUGUACUCUCCAUAAGGAAUACCAUUAAUGGCCUCGGUUUCCCCAAGAGUUGAAAACAUGCUUUGUAAAGCCACCUACGUCAUGAUUCUACCUAGCGUCACCAGUGGGGCACUCGAAGAAGUUCUUCAAAGAUCUUGUAUGCGUGAGCACAGGGCAGUUACAACACAUACACAGUUAAGGUGACUGACACUCUGCACAUGAGUGAAAUACACAGACAAGAAAGUGUCAGACUUCAACAAUAUGUUAAGCAGCAGGGCAAUUCUGCCAGCCAUCUCACAGUGAUUACAUAACGUGGGGGCAUCGGUCUCCCUGAAUUUGACCUCUGGGAUCUAUAAGCCAUCCUGCUUCUUUAAGUGUAACUCUUGAGUAGAUAUGUGUAAAUUGUUCCCUAUUUUAGUUAACCAAUACAAAAAAUAAAGAGCCAAACAACACAAAGACGUGAUAUAUUUCUUGACAAAAAAGCAACUGACUUUUUUUCCCCCUUCACUUUGUAGAGUUAGGAGUUUCAAGGGAAAGUUUGCUUGCUUCCAAAACUCCUGGAAAUCUCUCCUGUGAGGUGUGACUUCACUGAAUAGUUCCAAGUAACUCUACCUGUAGUUCAGGAGUACUCUCUGAUCCUCUGGAGAAGCAGGUCUCUGCUAACCUUGAGGAAAAUUAGCCUUCAAGGGACAAACAUACCAGAGUCUGAUAUUUUACAACUGCCAUGUUGGAAAAAAAAAAAUGUGUCCCAACUCCCAGCAUUUGCUAAACUUCUGCAUAUGACUCCUCUCAUCAGAAUCAAGUUUAACUGAUCAAGGCCACCUCACACAAGAGAGCGUGAGAGGCCAUGCACAUAGUAGGCACUUGCAAACAGAUUCCGUGCCCAUCCAGUUCCCCACUUCAAGAUCUCAUGAGUCUUUGCUACUUCUAAUCUAACCUAUGUAUUUAUUCCCGAUGGAACAUCUUUAUUCCUACCUAAUCAAGCUUUGGAAUUCUGGCCCCUGUGUGAUAUUCUCUAGCCCUGAAGAGGCCCACUAUGUACAGUGUCCAUGUUUCACAGUGUCAUCAGAAAGAAUAAAAAAUAAAUCUACAUUCAAAUAUUCAUUUAAAAAUAAGAAUAAAGGCUGUUUAGAGCAAUCUGUAGCCAGAGCAAAGAGUAGCUCUCCUGAAAUAUCCCUCUACCUUCCAAGCGGUGAACUAAAACAGAGGAAGCAGUUAAAUGAUUCACUUAAGGUCACAGAGUCAAUGCGUGCUGAAGCUGGAACUGAAGAGCUCAGAACCAGGGCUCUCUUCCUCUCCUGUCGCUGCAGAGUGCUGCCACCAACUUCGAAGACUACUCAUUCAUAUUCUCUAAGUCAUGAGGUGUGGCAGUGGCAGGGACUCCUGUCAGCUCUUCUGUGUGUGAUAAUCAGGACUUUCCCGCCAGGUGCCAAGAACUGUCCCCCGAAGCACUGUCCCCCGAAGACUCGGAAGCACUUUAUAGGUUGUUAUUCUGGCCGUCCUCCUCCUCUUCUGUGUUGUUUUUGGUUUGUUCCAAGGCUAGAUUUGCUUGUCUCUGAUUAAAGUCACUUUUUACUCUGAAUGGAGGGAAGGAUGGACAGAGGGAGGGUGAGAGGGAGGGGUUAAGGGAAGGAGGGAGGGAGAGAGUGUCAUUCAUUAAAGGAAAAAUGAAUUUAAACUUUUGAAAUGAUAACGUGUAGUCCAAUAUUUUUCAUUCUUUUAAAACAAUUAAAAUAUGAUUCCAUCAUUUCUCCCUCCCUUUUCUCCCUUCCGCCCUUCUCGUGUCUGACCCAGCCCCUCCCAAAUCAACUGCCUUCUCCUCUUUAAACAUUGUUGAUACAAAAAACAAAUGAAUAAAUAUAUGGAUAC